GGAGAGAUGACUGAGCGGCUAAAGGUGCCGGUCUUGAAAACCGGAGCUCGCGCAAGCGGGCCGGGGGUUCGAAUCCCUCUCUCUCCGCCA
rnacentral:tRNA from 1 species